CAGAGGGUGCGAGCGUUAAUCGGAAUUACUGGGCGUAAAGCGCGCGUAGGCGGUUUGUUAAGUCGGAUGUGAAAUCCCCGGGCUCAACCUGGGAAUUGCAUUCGAUACUGGCAAGCUAGAGUAUGGGAGAGGAAGGUAGAAUUCCAGGUGUAGCGGUGAAAUGCGUAGAGAUCUGGAGGAAUACCGAUGGCGAAGGCAGCCUUCUGGCCUAAUACUGACGCUGAGGUGCGAAAGCAUGGGGAGCAAAACAGGAUU
rnacentral:rRNA from 1 species